GUCUCAGCAUUCCACCUUUGUUGCUGACCAUCCAGAAUCGGCUGCUUGAAUGUAUCUCAGCAAUCCUUUCAAGAUCUCAUCAUUCAAUGCCAAGACAAUCAGCUUCUGUGAGUUGAGGGCUUAUUACAACGGUUACCCCCCAAGUACCAGAACUGAGUGGUUCUGCGCUAGUUCAACUUGCUUUGAGAACCCUUGCUCGUUUUAAUUUCAAGGGCCACAAUCUUCUUGAGUUUGCAAGGGAGUCUGUUGUUGUGUAUUUAGAAGAUGAGGACGGAGCUACAAGAAAGGAUGCUGCGCUGUGUUGCUGCAAACUAGUAGCAAAUUCUUUCUCGGCGAUAUCUUCUACCCAGUUUAGUCCUAGAAGAUUCAAUCGUGCCAGUGGAAAGUGACGUCGGCGGCUUGUUGAAGAGGUUGCAGGUAUCUCUCUUGGUGUACUGAUUUUGGGAUGCAUGCCUGGAUUGGAUCCCAAGUUUAGCAUAUGUUACUUACUCCCUUCAUCCCAGAAGUUGGCCUACUUUCUUUUUAUUGGUCGAUUUAGUCCCAAGUUUGCACAUGUUAAUUACUUCCUCCAUUCCAAAAUCUCCUAAAUUGCUUUCAUUGGAAAUUAGUAUUUGUAAAGUAUGUUGUAAAUCAUUUGAUACCUUUAUCUCUUUCUUGAACCCAUUACUCGAUAAAGUAUUUUCCAGUGUCAUUUGUUUACAUUCUUUUACAUAAUUUGUAACAUAUUUUUGUUACCUUCCCAAAAUAUUUGUUUACAUUCUUUUUCAUAAUUUGUAACAUAUUUCUGUUACCUUCCCAAAAUCCAGAACAAUCUUUUUUUUUUGUCACGUAUGAUUUCUAUUUACAUUACACACUAUAAUUUGUCACACUUGAACUAUAAUGGAGGUUUAGGCAAGGGGAAAUUUAUGUUUAUCUGGUGGUACUCUUUCUUUUUUGUUGUUGGUGCUUUUGUACUGAACUGGUCUGGUGAUGUAAAGAGGAUCUUCAAGGGUUGGAUUUUCAGCAAAGAAAAAGAAACUAGAUAGCUUUGUGCAUCAGAUGCGAAGGCUUUUCUCUCCAAAUAGCAUAGAGGGUUGGAUAGUUCGCACCAUCAUUUUUAUUUUAUAGUUAGCACAUGUAUUUGUAUUUGUUAGU